GCAAGUCGAGCGGUAACAGGUGUAGCAAUACAUGCUGACGAGCGGCGAACGGGUGAGUAAUGCUUCGGAAUCUGCCCAAUGGUGGGGAAUAACCAGCCGAAAGGUUGGCUAAUACCGCAUAAGUCCUACGGGGGAAAGCAGGGGAUCGCAAGACCUUGCGCCGAUGGAUGAGCCGAAGUCGGAUUAGCUAGUUGGUAGGGUAACGGCCUACCAAGGCGACGAUCCGUAGCUGGUCUGAGAGGACGACCAGCCACACUGGGACUGAGACACGGCCCAGACUCCUACGGGAGGCAGCAGUGGGGAAUAUUGGACAAUGGGGGAAACCCUGAUCCAGCGACGCCGCGUGUGUGAAGAAGGCCUGCGGGUUGUAAAGCACUUUUAGUGGGGAUGAAAAGCUCAGGGCUAACACCUCUGGGUCUUGACCUAACCCACAGAAAAAGCACCGGCUAACUCUGUGCCAGCAGCCGCGGUAAUACAGAGGGUGCGAGCGUUAAUCGGAAUUACUGGGCGUAAAGCGUGCGUAGACGGUUAUGUAAGUCGGGUGUGAAAGCCCCGGGCUCAACCUGGGAAUGCCAUUCGAGACUGCAUAGCUAGGGUGCGGAAGAGGGAAGCGGAAUUUCCGGUGUAGCG
rnacentral:rRNA from 1 species